GACGAACGCUGGCGGCGUGCUUAACACAUGCAAGUCGAGCGGUAAGGCCCUUUCGGGGGUACACGAGCGGCGAACGGGUGAGUAACACGUGGGUGACCUGCCUUUAGCUCUGGGAUAAGCCUGGGAAACUGGGUCUAAUACCGGAUACGACUCCGCGGUGCAUGCUGUGGGGUGGAAAGCCUUGUGCGGCUGGAGAUGGGCCCGCGGCCUAUCAGCUUGUUGGUGGGGUGAUGGCCUACCAAGGCGACGACGGGUAGCCGGCCUGAGAGGGCGACCGGCCACACUGGGACUGAGACACGGCCCAGACUCCUACGGGAGGCAGCAGUGGGAAUCUUGCGCAAUGGGCGAAAGCCUGACGCAGCGACGCCGCGUGAGGGAUGACGGCCU
rnacentral:rRNA from 1 species